rnacentral:lncRNA from 1 species
GGGUAUGUACCUUCUUAAGUACACCUUUGUACUGCAAAUUAUAUAUGCUUUUCUUUUCCUAUUUCUUUUUUUUUUUUCACUAUUUAUGUAAUUAUGUUAACUCAAUGUUGUAUUAUUACCAUUAUUAUUUGUGUAUGUUUUUGUUCUGUAUUUCUUUUCUCUUUAUUUUGAUUAUACCUUAGUUUGUACCCUCAUAUAGUCAUAGCUAAGAUGAAUCCAAUUUUAUUAUCAUUAUAUUUAUUUAUAUUUUUUGUAUUUUUCAGCACUUCUGUUUGUGUAAAAAUUGAGCAAAAAACGGUUUUACCUAAUUUGCAUUCUUUAAUUCAAAUUAAAAAAAUAUAUUAAAAAAACAUUCUCCUAUACAGACCUGCAGGGGCCUCACACUGCUGCUGCAGGGGCCCGGCAGGAGAACUCAUCUGUAAGGGGGGCUCCCAGAAACCGUCUGUGGAUCUGAGAUCGAGAUCCAAGAGGACGUGCACACCUGGAUCAGAGUCUGACUGACAUCAUCCUCAUCCUCAUCAUGGCCGUAUCAUGAUCUUAGGUAUCGACGGAAGGUUUCGGACCCCCUCCCCCCUCCUCUGUAAUAUCAGAAAAGCUUCUCCUGACCCUCUUAUGGAGUCAGAGGAGGUUAUCGAUCCGAUCAGCCCAUGAUCUGAGGCGUCUGCAGAACUGGGGGAGGGAGGGGUUUAAGUGCCGGGGGGUCUGAACCUCCUUUUACUCCCCUCAUGACCAGACGCCCCCCCAGGUCAAAGGUCAGAGGUGGUUCACCCGGCCGGUAGAGGUUGUUCAGCAUGAAGAUGGCAGCAGGGUUAAUUUAAUAUAAACACACACGGCUCUAAAAUAAAACCUUUAAAGAGAGAGACAGGCGGGGCGGGCAAGGGGGGCAGGGCUAAUCGAAUGACCAUCUGAUUUAACUGCCAAAGUAUUUUCCUUCGCAUCUUUAAUCAAUGCUUAAGACCCAUAACGGGCCAGGUCAGCGGAGAGAGAUCUCCAUAAUCGAUGAGGUUCAGCAGGUUAGUGCACACCCUCCUCCUCCUCCUCUUCUUCAUGGACUUAUUCCUCCUCAGAGUGUCUGUCAGACCGGGAAAUACUGUGGCGGCUCAGAGGGAGGCGGAGUCAGAUCAGUUCAUUCGGUCUGAGGGAACGGGUCCAGCAGCCGUCAGCGCCUGAUUGGCUGAGAUUCUGGAGGAAGCUGACCCACUUGUGAACUUCUGCUUCUUCAUUCAGAUUUAACCGUUUAUCCUUCAGGCUCCAGUGAACCAGGUUCUCUCUGAAAGAAAGUUCUGGUCUGGGUGGACACAGAUGUAGAUCCUAAACCUAGAGAUAUUAUGUAAAACUGAGGACGCAGCAUCUAUGAUUUACAGUUCUUCGUUGAAAGGACAACUGGACUUACUUGAGGGUCCAGCAGCUGUCAGCGCCUGAUUAGCUGAGGUUCUGGACGGAGCUGACCCACAUGCGAACCUCUGCUUCUUCAUUCAGAUUUACCAUUUAACCACAAAUCCAUCUCGCCACAGGACAUCUCCGCUUCCCUAUCUACUACCCUCACCGCAUCCCCUCCCCCACCUCCUGCCGAACUUGCUCAACUACUACAAUAACACUCUAUCCUCCUGCCUGGACCAGCUCGCACCCCUCAAAACAAGAACAGUUUCAUUGAGACAUUCCGCCCCCUGGUUUACCUCAGAACUGCACAAAAUGAAAUCUCACAAACGCCAACUAGAACGUCUCCACCACAAAACCGGCCUCACCGUCCAUCUCCAAGCAUACACUGACCGCCUCCACCUAUACAGAACAGCCCUCAAGUCCGCCCGCUCAUCCUAUUACUCCAACCUCAUCCACUCCAGCUCCAGCAACCAAAAGACUCUUUUCACCACAGUCAAAAAACUUCUCCACCCCAUAGACACCAUCUCCACCACCUUCACCCCGGAAAAGUGUAACUCAUUCCUCUCAUCUUUUCAAACCAAAAUCAACACAAUCUACAACUCCCUUCCCCCACCUUCCAUUCCCAGCUCCUCCCCUCCUCCCCUCAUCCCAUCAGCACUCUCCCGUUUCUCACCUGUUUCUCCAACCGACGUGACCAAUUUCAUCUGCUCCAUGUCAUCAUCCACCUGCAUCCUGGAUCCCAUCCCAUCCUCCCUCAUCAAGCACUGCCUCCCCGUCAUCUCUCCCAUCAUUACACAGAUCAUCAACUCCUCCCUCAACUCUACCACUGUUCCCCCUUCACUCAAACUGGCCGCUGUCACCCCCAUGCUCAAAAAACCUGGACUCAACCCCGACGAUAUCAAUAACUUCCGGCCCAUCUCCAACCUCCCUUUCCUGUCGAAAAUCCUGGAACGAGUCAUUUCAUCACAGAUAAAAGCCCACCCCACAACAAUAACAAUCUUUACGAACAGUUUCAAUCAGGAUUCCGCACCCACCACAGCACUGAAACUGCCCUCAUCAAAGUCACAAACGACCUCCUCAUCUCUGCUGACUCCGGCCAACUCUCCAUCCUCAUCCUCCUUGACCUCUCAGCCGCUUUUGACACCAUUGACCACGCCAUCCUCCUGUCCCGCCUACACUCCCUCCUCAAUAUCACAGACACCGCUCUUAACUGGAUCCGUUCAUAUCUCACAAACCGGAAUCACUUCAUCCACAUCAACAACUGCUCCUCCACAACUGCCCCCGUGUCCCAAGGUGUCCCCCAGGGUUCAGUACUUGGUCCUCUCCUCUUCAUCAUCUACCUCCUCCCUCUCGGCCACAUCCUCCGUCAACACAAUCUCCAUUUCCACUGCUAUGCUGAUGACAUUCAAUUGUACAUCUCUUCCACCUCCAUCACCCCCCAGACCCAACGCUCCCUCUCAAA